rnacentral:rRNA from 1 species
GACAGAGGGUGCAAACGUUGCUCGGAAUUACUGGGCGUAAAGCGCGUGUAGGCGGUUUGGUAAGUCGGAUGUGAAAGCCCCGGGCUCAACCCGGGAAGUGCACUCGAUACUGCCAAGCUAGAGUGUCGGAGAGGUUGGUGGAAUUCUCGGUGUAGAGGUGAAAUUCGUAGAUAUCGAGAGGAACACCGGUGGCGAAGGCGGCCAACUGGACGAACACUGACGCUGAGACUCGAAAGCGUGGGGAGCAAACAGG